rnacentral:rRNA from 1 species
UACCGCAUAACAAUUUGAAUCGCAUGAUUCAAAUUUAAAAGAUGGUUUCGGCUAUCACUUUGGGAUGGACCUGCGGCGCAUUAGCUUGUUGGUAGGGUAACGGCCUACCAAGGCUGUGAUGCGUAGCCGAGUUGAGAGACUGAUCGGCCACAAUGGAACUGAGACACGGUCCAUACUCCUACGGGAGGCAGCAGUAGGGAAUCUUCCACAAUGGGCGCAAGCCUGAUGGAGCAACACCGCGUGAGUGAAGAAGGGUUUCGGCUCGUAAAGCUCUGUUGUUAGAGAAGAACGUGCGUGAGAGCAACUGUUCACGCAGUGACGGUAUCUAACCAGAAAGUCACGGCUAACUACGUGCCAGCAGCCGCGGUAAUACGUAGGUGGCAAGCGUUAUCCGGAUUUAUUGGGCGUAAAGCGAGCGCAGGCGGUUUGAUAAGUCUGAUGUGAAAGCCUUUGGCUUAACCAAAGAAGUGCAUCGGAAACUGUCAGACUUGAGUGCAGAAGAGGACAGUGGAACUCCAUGUGUAGCGGUGGAAUGCGUAGAUAUAUGGAAGAACACCAGUGGCGAAGGCGGCUGUCUGGUCUGCAACUGACGCUGAGGCUCGAAAGCAUGGGUAGCGAACAGGAUUAGAUACCCUGGUAGUCCAUGCCGUAAACGAUGAGUGCUAGGUGUUGGAGGGUUUCCGCCCUUCAGUGCCGCAGCUAACGCAUUAAGCACUCCGCCUGGGGAGUACGACCGCAAGGUUGAAACUCAAAGGAAUUGACGGGGGCCCGCACAAGCGGUGGAGCAUGUGGUUUAAUUCGAAGCUACGCGAAGAACCUUACCAGGUCUUGACAUCUUGCGCCAACCCUAGAGAUAGGGCGUUUCCUUCGGGAACGCAAUGACAGGUGGUGCAUGGUCGUCGUCAGCUCGUGUCGUGAGAUGUUGGGUUAAGUCCCGCAACGAGCGCAACCCUUGUUACUAGUUGCCAGCAUUCAGUUGGGCACUCUAGUGAGACUGCCGGUGACAAACCGGAGGAAGGUGGGGACGACGUCAGAUCAUCAUGCCCCUUAUGACCUGGGCUACACACGUGCUACAAUGGACGGUACAACGAGUCGCGAACUCGCGAGGGCAAGCUAAUCUCUUAAAAUAGUUGACA